CGGAGUGAGUAAUGUAUGGGGAUCUGCCUGAUGGCGGGGGAUAACUACUGGAAACGGUAGCUAAUACCGCAUAACGUCGCAAGACCAAAGAGGGGGACCUUCGGGCCUCUUGCCAUCGGAUGUGCCCAGAUGGGAUUAGCUAGUAGGUGGGGUAACGGCUCACCUAGGCGACGAUCCCUAGCUGGUCUGAGAGGAUGACCAGCCACACUGGAACUGAGACACGGUCCAG
rnacentral:rRNA from 1 species